rnacentral:rRNA from 1 species
GCUCAGAUUGAACGCUGGCGGCAGGCCUAACACAUGCAAGUCGAGCGGAAACGACAUUAUUGAAUCUUCGGAUGAUUUAAUGGGCGUCGAGCGGCGGACGGGUGAGUAAUGCCUAGGAAAUUGCCUUGAUGUGGGGGAUAACCAUUGGAAACGAUGGCUAAUACCGCAUAAUGCCUACGGGCCAAAGAGGGGGAUCUUCGGGCCUCUCGCGUCAAGAUAUGCCUAGGUGGGAUUAGCUAGUUGGUGAGGUAAUGGCUCACCAAGGCGACGAUCCCUAGCUGGUCUGAGAGGAUGAUCAGCCACACUGGAACUGAGACACGGUCCAGACUCCUACGGGAGGCAGCAGUGGGGAAUAUUGCACAAUGGGCGAAAGCCUGAUGCAGCCAUGCCGCGUGUAUGAAGAAGGCCUUCGGGUUGUAAAGUACUUUCAGUUGUGAGGAAGGGGGUAACGUUAAUAGCGUUAUCUCUUGACGUUAGCAACAGAAGAAGCACCGGCUAACUCCGUGCCAGCAGCCGCGGUAAUACGGAGGGUGCGAGCGUUAAUCGGAAUUACUGGGCGUAAAGCGCAUGCAGGUGGUUCAUUAAGUCAGAUGUGAAAGCCCGGGGCUCAACCUCGGAACUGCAUUUGAAACUGGUGAACUAGAGUGCUGUAGAGGGGGGUAGAAUUUCAGGUGUAGCGGUGAAAUGCGUAGAGAUCUGAAGGAAUACCAGUGGCGAAGGCGGCCCCCUGGACAGACACUGACACUCAGAUGCGAAA